UACGAGAGGUCCAAACGUUAUUCGGAAUCACUGGGCUUACAGAGUUCGUAGCGGUCCAGAAAGUGGGGUGUGAAAGCCCUCGGCUUAACCGAGGAACUGCGCUCCAAACUACUGGGCUAGAGGAAGAUAGAGGUGAGCAGAACUGAUGGUGGAGCGGUGAAAUGCGUUGAUAUCAUCAGGAAUACCGGAGGCGAAGGCGGCUCACUGGGUCUUUUUCUGACGCUGAGGAACGAAAGCUAGGGGAGCAAACGGG
rnacentral:rRNA from 1 species